AACGCACCUUGCGCCCUUUGGUAUUCCGAAGGGCACACCCGUUUGAGUGUCGUGUACAUCCUCAAACCUUCUUGGUUUCUCAACCAGGAAGGCUUUGGACUCUGGAGGUUCUUGCUGGCCUUACUUUGUUGAAGCCAGCUCCUCUAAAAUGAAUUAGUGGGAUCUGCCUUGCGGAUACUUGACGUGAUAAGAUAUUUCUACGUCUUGGAUCUUGCACUGUUCGCUCUGGAUCCUGCUUCUAACCGUCUCAUAGAAGACAAUGGGUUAAGUGAUUGCCACUUGGCCCACAAACCUUGACCUCAAAUCGGGUGAGACUACCCGCUGAACUUAA
rnacentral:misc_RNA from 2 species